AACGUAGGUGGCGAGCGUUAUCCGGAUUUACUGGGCGUAAAGGGCGCGUAGGCGGUUUGCUAAGUUGGAUGUGAAAACUCUGGGCUUAACCCAGAGCCUGCAUUCAAUACUGACAGGCUAGAGUUCUGGAGGGGAUAGCGGAAUUCCUGGUGUAGCGGUGAAAUGCGUAGAUAUCAGGAGGAACACCGGUGGCGAAGGCGGCUAUCUGGACAGAGUCUGACGCUGAGGCGCGAAAGCUAGGGGAGCAAACAGG
rnacentral:rRNA from 1 species